rnacentral:misc_RNA from 1 species
GUUUGAAGUAGUUGUGCUGGUGUUAGACGAAUAGGCAAUGGUGGGUGGUACUUGGGAGCUUUGUCUAUGACUUGAAGGAUCUGUCUACUUUGUCCUUGUUAAGUUGCUAUUCAUGUUGGUAAGUUUCAUUUGCUCGUCGUUCAAUAUCUUCGAGAUUUGCUUCUACACCACGGCUGGGAAAGCCAUCUCAUCGACAUAGUGCAUGUGCCAGAGCUGUGACAACCCCUCUCCUCCAUGUAUAAUAGUUUUCAUGUCCCUGUUUGCAGUUU